CUGCUGGUGCUGGGCGCCGUAGUCCUGGCGGCCGCCGGGCCCAUCGCCUACGCCGGCGCCGAUGCCAACCCUGGGCCACACCACCGACGCAGAUAUGGCUACGGUGGAUAUGGAGGCUUUGGUGGAUACAGACCCUUUCUUGGAUAUGGUGGAUACGGAGGCUAUGGUGGAUAUGGAUACCAGCGCCCAUUCUUUGGCAUCUCAUUUGGUAUAGGUCACGGUGGAUAUGGGUACUAUGGAUGAUCUGAACCCAGCACGGGCGUCGGGCAUUUGUACUCUUUGUUGACACCGUAUACGCGUAGCUUCAUUCAUCAUUAAUUUGUUACGAAGUCAAAGAAAUGAAGACUGUUUAUCUUUAUA